rnacentral:lncRNA from 1 species
GCUACUAGAGCUUCUGACGGGGAGGAGAGCAGCGGGGACCCCAGAACUGGCGAAAUGGGUGGUCCCGUUGAUGAAAGAGUCGAUGUUCAGCGAAAUUUUGGAUCCGAGACUCGUCGUGAGGACUAGUGAUGUGAAUGUGGUUGUCAGGUUGUGUAAAGUUGCUUCGGCUUGUGUUAGUAACUGUAGGAUGAGUCGUCCGACGAUCGUUCAGGUGGCCGCCAUUCUCAACUGUCUUGAGAGGGAUUCUUCUUCUUAGCUAUUGCUUUUAGAGGGUAUUUUGGUAGUUUCCCUUGAGUGAUUGGUUAAUGGGUUUGCCCCAUCUUACUAGGCCCAAAAUAAUUAUGUCAUCCGGUUAGUUCGGUAGUUAGCUACGUGGUUAUUCUCUCUAGUUCGAUAGCCAGCUUCAUUAGUUCGAUCAUUUCUGAAGAUCUGAUGGUGGAAAAAUCUUCUUAUGGACGGCUCAUAUUAUUUCUGAAAAUCAUAAAUGAGGAGAAUCUUUCUCA